ACACUCCUACGGGAGGCAGCAGUGGGGAAUCUUGCGCAAUGGGCGAAAGCCUGACGCAGCCAUGCCGCGUGAAUGAUGAAGGUCUUAGGAUUGUAAAAUUCUUUCACCGGGGACGAUAAUGACGGUACCCGGAGAAGAAGCCCCGGCUAACUUCGUGCCAGCAGCCGCGGUAAUACGAAGGGGGCUAGCGUUGCUCGGAAUUACUGGGCGUAAAGGGAGCGUAGGCGGACAUUUAAGUCAGGGGUGAAAUCCCGGGGCUCAACCUCGGAAUUGCCUUUGAUACUGGGUGUCUUGAGUAUGAGAGAGGUGUGUGGAACUCCGAGUGUAGAGGUGAAAUUCGUAGAUAUUCGGAAGAACACCAGUGGCGAAGGCGACACACUGGCUCAUUACUGACGCUGAGGCUCGAAAGCGUGGGGAGCAAACAGGAUUAGAUACCCGUGUAGUCCC
rnacentral:rRNA from 1 species